ensembl:snRNA U6 U6 spliceosomal RNA
GUGCUUACCUGGGCAGCACAUCCACUAAAAGCACAAUAAGAGAUUAGCAUGGCCUCUGUGCAAGGGUGACUUGCAAACCUGAGAUCGCUCAGAAUACAC